CCUACGUGAGGCAGCAGUGAGGAAUAUUGGUCAAUGGGCGCGAGCCUGAACCAGCCAAGUCGCGUGAGGGAAGACGGUCCUAUGGAUUGUAAACCUCUUUUGUCGGGGAGCAAAAGACGCCACGCGUGGCGUUCCGAGAGUACCCGAAGAAAAAGCAUCGGCUAACUCCGUGCCAGCAGCCGCGGUAAUACGGAGGAUGCGAGCGUUAUCCGGAUUUAUUGGGUUUAAAGGGUGCGCAGGCGGAAGAUCAAGUCAGCGGUAAAAUUGAGAGGCUCAACCUCUUCGAGCCGUUGAAACUGGUUUUCUUGAGUGAGCGAGAAGUAUGCGGAAGGCGUGGUGUAGCGGUGAAAUGCAUAGAUAACACGCAGAACUCCGAUUGCGAAGGCAGCAUACCGGCGCUCAACUGACGCUCAUGCACGAAAGUGUGGGUAUCGAACAGGAUUAGAUACCCUAGUAGUC
rnacentral:rRNA from 1 species